GACGAACGCUGGCGGUGUGCUUAACACAUGCAAGUCGAACGGAAAGGCCCUGCUUGCAGGGUACUCGAGUGGCGAACGGGUGAGUAACACGUGGGUGAUCUGCCCUGCACUUCGGGAUAAGCUUGGGAAACUGGGUCUAAUACCGGAUAGGAGCCAUCUUUAGUGUGGUGGUUGGAAAGUUUUUUCGGUGUAGGAUGAGCUCGCGGCCUAUCAGCUUGUUGGUGGGGUAAUGGCCUACCAAGGCGGCGACGGGUAGCCGGCCUGAGAGGGUGUACGGCCACAUUGGGACUGAGAUACGGCCCAGACUCCUACGGGAGGCAGCAGUGGGGAAUAUUGCACAAUGGGCGCAAGCCUGAUGCAGCGACGCCGCGUGGGGGAUGAAGGCCUUCGGGUUGUAAACUCCUUUCGCUAGGGACGAAGCUUUUUUGUGACGGUACCUAGAUAAGAAGCACCGGCUAACUACGUG
rnacentral:rRNA from 1 species